rnacentral:misc_RNA from 1 species
UAUUUUUUUUUUUUUAUAUAUAAUUUUUUAAAUCUUCCUCUUUGCCAGAAUUAAGAUAAUAUAUAUGCUUUUAGCUUUUGAAUCAUGUUUUCCCUCAGAUUUGCAUUUCGUUUAAGAAGAAAUUUGGCAUCUUUUACCUAUUUUCUGUAAUGCUCUAUUUAAUUACCAAUUCGGAGGAAGUGGCUUGAUAAUUGACUUUCUCGUUGAAAACGAUUCUCUUUUAUGUUUUUAAUGGUAAAUUUUUAUGUCUUUGUUUUCUACCAUAUCGAUUUUCGUUGGUUUAGUUAUGAUAAUCUAAUUCAUAAUUAAAACUUCACAAUUUGGCAUUAAAUGGGUUCAAAUUUGAAAACGUAAUUUGUAAGAACGAGGUCAUCGAUCCUUAAAUUAAAUAUGUAUAUUUCCUAAUUCACCUUGCAUGAAUUUCAUAAUAAAUAUUUGAUUUAACCGUAGUUGAACUCGUUCUUAUACUAAAUUUUGCACCCAUUUGAAAAAGAAAGAAAAGAGUAUGCUUUUUUCAUAAAUGUCUCCAGGGAAAGGGCAGUAAAGUUUAGAGGGAAUCAUCGAGUGUUUGUUUGAUCAGUUCUUGUCUGUUUCAUGUUGCCAUCUUAAUGUGAAAUUCAUCAAGGUGAUUCAUAUUAACAAUUGUAACAUGAUAGAUUAUAGAUGGACUCUGCAACUUGUUGGUUUGCAACUUUGCUUUGCUGUUAUUCUUCCUCCUAUCUUUUCUGAUGCACUGUGAGUUGAUGCAGAAACUGAAGACUAAAGUGGUGAAAAGAAACUGCAAUCCUGAAUGGAAUGAAGAACUAACUCUUUCCAUUACAGAUGUCAAUGCUCCAAUAAAAUUA